GGAGAAUUACUCAAGAGGCUUAAGAGGACGGGUUACUACCUUGUUAGGCGUGUGAUAGCGCGCGUGGGUUCGAAUCCCAUAUUCUCCU
rnacentral:tRNA from 1 species